CCCUUCUCAGGGUCGCACCUGGAGAGUUUCCAGUCCUCUACCAGUCUCGGCUACAGGAGGGAGAGUCAAGCAGAGGUCUGUCCAUUCCAUUCCUAGCUUGGCCGGCAGCUAGCGAGUGGAAGGCCAUCUGCUUCAAAU
rnacentral:snoRNA from 2 species